GUUGAACGCUGGCGGCGUGCUUAACACAUGCAAGUCGAGCGAAGCGCUUACGAUAGAACCUUCGGGGGAAGACGUAAGGGACUGAGCGGCGGACGGGUGAGUAACGCGUGGGUAACCUGCCUCAUACAGGGGGAUAACAUUCGGAAACGGCUGUUAAUACCGCAUAAGCGCACAGUAUCGCCUGAUGCUGUGUGAAAAACUCGGGUGGUAUGAGAUGGAGCGUCGUCUGAUUAGCUAGUUGGAGGGGUAACGGCCCACGAAGGCGACGAUCAGUAGCCGGCCUGAGAGGGUGAGCCGCCACAUUGGGAGUGAGACGCGGCCCAGACUCCUACAGGAGGCAGCAGUGGGGGAUAUAGCACAAUGGGGGGAGCCCUGAUGCAGCGACGCCGGGUGAAGGAAGAAGUAUCUCGGUAUGUAAACUUCUAUCAGAAGGGAAGAAAAUGACGGUACCUGACUAAGAAGCCCCGGCUAACUACGUG
rnacentral:rRNA from 1 species